CUAUCCUACGCCCUCUCUUUCUAUCUUCGCUGCCUGCACGUUGUGCCGUCUUCUUCGACGUAGCCACGUCAGCCCGGGGGGGGGGGGGUCAACGGAGCGCUGCGAUGUUCGAGCCGCGUGCGUGUCUCUGAUCCCCCUCUUGCUUCUUUGCUUUUAUUUAUCAGUCAAGCCCAUAAUGAUCGUGGUGCGCACCGCUGCUCGUCUCUCCGCCCGAUGGCCGGCAGCGCUGCUGGCAGCCUCUCGUGGAUUGCCUUCCUCGGGUGCGUGGGUGCCUUGCUGGAGUGCAUUCUUUAAUGAACUGCAGCUGCAAGAAGAGUCGCCCAGAGGCAGCACGGACAAGGCAGGCAACACGAAGUUUGACGCGGUGCCGGCGCCGCUGCUUAGGUCCAUUGCUCAGCAUUGGGUAGAUGAAACGCUCCUUGCGGUAGCAUCCGCCCGUCUCGCCGAGGUGUACCCGCCUGCGCACGCAAGCGUCUUGAAAGGGGUGUGCGAGGCUACAGUGACUCCGUCGGAAGGACUGGAGUCGCUGCUGGCCACGUGGAGUGCGCAUAUGCUGCUCUCCGUACUUCAUACACCGCGCCAGCCAUCGAUCGCCGCACCAUCACACAAGGUGCAGAGCUGCGCGUAUGGGGCACCCGACACCGUCAGCGCAGCGCUGGCGGAAUGUCUGGAAAAGGACGUAGCCCCUGUUCUCCGCUACCUGACCACGUUUGCAACACCACCGGUGUCCAAGCCUACGUCACAUCAGCGCCAUCACUUGGCUGCAUCAACGCGCGUGUUACGGCAUGCGCUGGUGCUGCUCCUCUACAGUUUUGUGACGACGUGGCGUGGGGCGCCGCCACGUGAAUCGCCACCGACUCCGGGGGUGAUCACGUUGACAGGAGAGGAGCGCGCCCUGGCACUGGAGAUUUGCCGUUGCGUUGCCGCGCUCAAUGAAAGCGGCACGGGUUCGGAGAGCAUCGUAACAGGAGAAGGUCGUGGCAAUGCCAGUGCACAAGCUCACUCGCGUGCUGCUCGUGCAGAGGCGACGGGCUCGCACGUCACCUCGCUGGAGGCGGUAACUGGGGCUCAGGUUGCGCUUGUAAAGGAUGCCCUUGCGGGCAUGCUGGCCCCUGAUCACCACAGCGACGGCAGCGCGGCGAGCACUCCUGUUCACGCGAGAGACUCUGCAGCGGGUAAUGGUCCUCUGUGGAGAGCUUGCAAGGCGUGGAUCGCUGGUGCCGUCGGCACCGCAGUGGGUGCUAGUGCGGCCCCUCCGUCUUCACCCUUCGCCGGUAUCACCGAGGCACGCAGAAAAGAAGAGGAGGCUGUCGACCUCGAGCGUGUAAACGAUCAGCUCAACCAGAUUGCCCGCGGCAGCGCCGUGAACGCAGCGUCUCGCCAGUGUGGGAACAGCGCUGCGAUGCCCUGAAUUCGCCAUCCGUGCGUGUCUGCGUAUGUGUGUAAUUGUCUUUCCCCACAAGU
rnacentral:misc_RNA from 1 species